GUGUGUCCCAACCUCCCACAUGAUGAAAUGAUCCUUUUAAAGCGGACUCAAUAUGUCUCAAUCUGCACUCCUCUUCCCUCUCUAAAGCUUCUGGGUUCGGGACACAGCCCAGAAAUAUAUUAAUUAAAGCGCACUACCACAGACUUUUUAGCACUGGGGAAGAAGUGGCUGGAUCAAGUCAAGCUCUGUCAACGACGGAUGGAUGAAGAUUCACGGCAGGAAAAGAGAAAACAAAAAGCGAUCAAUGCCGCAGCGCUCUCUCAUUCACCCUGAACUGGUGGUGAACUCCUCCGGAACGCCGCCAGCCUCUCCACCCUAUCCCAUCGCAGUCCGGGGUCACCAGGGGGGCGUCUCUGUGCCAAUAUGCAGAUGAGCCAGUGCCCCUCCAAUGACUCUGGUGUUAAGCUCCACCCCUCUAUACGGUGGAGCCCCCACCCAACAACACUCACACACAUUGAGACAUAAACCCACUCUCACAGUGGCUUAAAUAGGCCUUUAACAGCUUACGUCCGCUCUUCCUUUAAUAGUCAAAGUGUGUCGAACCUAAUGGAUGUUGUCAAAGCUGAGAUGUGACGGCUGAUUUAGGGGAGGAACCCCAAUGACCAGGCAUCAGUAGCCACUAAAGAGAGAGAGAGAGAGAGAGAGAGAGAGAGAGAGAGAGAGAGAGAGAGAGAGAGAGAGAGAGAGAGAGAGAGAAUUACCUCAGCUAUGCCACAAAUCAAAGCAAUAUCUUUAAAAGACAUGGGGAUCGAUGAGGUGUCAUCUGGCUGUAUCUUGUGUGUAAAGCGAACCCAUAAACAUCCAACGAGUACUGCAGUACUUCGCCCUCAAUUUUUAGUCCCUUACCGAAAGUUUUUUUUUAAACUCAUAAGCAUUUUUUCUUUUCUUUUUUUCAAGCAAUUGAUUUCAUGUAUUGUUCAAACAAGAUACGAAGUAACAAGAGCAGUUUAAUUACAACUUGUAUCUUGCAUUUAACUGAUCAAACUUUGAAUAAAAAGGUACCCUGUG